rnacentral:rRNA from 1 species
ACUGACUGCUAUCGGAUUGAUACUAAGCCAUGCGAGUCAUUGUAGUAAUACAAGGCAGACGGCUCAGUAACGCGUAGUCAACCUAACCUAUGGACGGGAAUAACCUCGGGAAACUGAGUAUAAUGCCCGAUAGAACAUUAUACCUGGAAUGGUUUAUGUUCCAAAUGAUUUAUCGCCGUAGGAUGGGACUGCGGCCUAUCAGUUUGUUGGUGAGGUAAUGGCCCACCAAGACUAUUACAGGUACGGGCUCUGAGAGGAGUAGCCCGGAGAUGGGUACUGAGACACGGACCCAGGCCCUAUGGGGCGCAGCAGGCGAGAAAACUUUGCAAUGUGCGAAAGCACGACAAGGUUAAUCCGAGUGGUUUCUGCUAAAGGAACCUUUUGUCGGUCCUAGAAACACCGAUGAAUAAGGGGUGGGCAAGUUCUGGUGUCAGCCGCCGCGGUAAAACCAGCACCUCAAGUGGUCAGGAUGAUUAUUGGGCCUAAAGCAUCCGUAGCCGGCUCUAUAAGUUUUCGGUUAAAUCUGUACGCUCAACGUACAGGCUGCCGGGAAUACUGUAGAGCUAGGGAGUGGGAGAGGUAGACGGUACUCGGUAGGAAGGGGUAAAAUCCUUUGAUC